rnacentral:lncRNA from 1 species
CUUUAUAUACAUCAGUCAUUGAGCACACAGCUCCAGUACACUAGCUUACAACUUGCAGAAGUCUGGCACCAACAACUAAUAGCUCCAUUACUCUAGCCAAGAACACACCAAUGGAAUAAUUUUAGUCCUAAUAACUUGCAGAAGUCGGUAGGGCCACCAAGCAACCUGAAACAAAAAAGUUUAAUUGGUCAAGCCAUAGGAAACAUCGCUAGAAAUUAUACAAAAAAUUAUAAACAAUUUUUAAUACUAAUCUAUGAAUAUAGUUACACCAGUGUGUGUUGUAUUUAUUAGCAAGCAAAAUUUUAGAACUAUUCUCUAAACUAAGUCCAGAGGAAUGUACCAUAAUCAUGUCUGCUGCAUUUCCUUGUCCUUGUUCUUGUUCUUCUCUUUCUGUCUUUGCUUUCCACCCUUAUCCCUGUACCCCUUUAGUCUUUUGAUUCUACCCCUUGAUCGAAUAUCAUUUGGAGGAUGGAUAUGAACCUCACUUGGAAUGGAACAACCUAAAAAUUCCUCAAAUUCUUCUGUUUGAGUUUGUUGUUUUCGCUGGAACUUGGGUAGACA